rnacentral:rRNA from 1 species
CAGCCGCCGCGGGAAAACGUAGGUGGCAAGCGUUGUCCGGAAUUAUUGGGCGUAAAGGGCUCGCAGGCGGUUUCUUAAGUCUGAUGCGAAAGCCCCCGGCUCAACCGGGGAGGGUCAUUGGAAACUGGGAAACUUGAGUGCAGAAGAGGAGAGUGGAAUUCCACGUGUAGCGGUGAAAUGCGUAGAGAUGUGGAGGAACACCAGUGGCGAGGGCGACUCUCUGGACUGUAACUGACGCUGAGGAGCGAAAGCGUGGGGAGCGAACAGGAUUAGAUACCCGCGUAGUCCCUGUCUCUUAUAA